rnacentral:rRNA from 1 species
AUGCCCCUUAUGACCUGGGCUACACACGUGCUACAAUGGGCGGUACAAAGGGCUGCGAACCCGCGAGGGGGAGCGAAUCCCAAAAAGCCGCUCUCAGUUCGGAUUGCAGGCUGCAACUCGCCUGCAUGAAGCCGGAAUCGCUAGUAAUCGCGGAUCAGCAUGCCGCGGUCGAAUACGUUCCGGGCCUU